UCAGACGAUGCGUCAUGCAUAUCAAUAAGCGGAGGAAAAGAAACUAACAAGGAUUCCCUUAGUAACGGCGAGUGAAGCGGGAAGAGCUCAAAUUUGAAAUCUUCAAGGUUUUACCUUGACGAAUUGUAGUUUAAAGAAGUGUUUUCUGCUGAAGUUUUGGUAAAAGUUCUUUGGAAUAGGACAUCAUAGAGGGUGAGAAUCCCGUAUUUGACCAUUAUUUUCAGCUUUGUGAUACACUUUCAAAGAGUCGGAUUGUUUGGGAAUGCAGUCCAAAAUGGGUGGUAAAUUUCAUCUAAAGCUAAAUAUUGGCGAGAGACCGAUAGCGAACAAGUACCGUGAGGGAAAGAUGAAAAGAACUUUCGAAAAGAGAGUUAAAUAGUACGUGAAAUUGUCAAAAGGGAAGCGUUUGACACCAGUGUUGUUUUCCUCGAAAAUCAAUUAAAAAUGGCUCGAUUUUGUAUUGUUUGAGACCUUAAAAGCUCACUGUACAUUUUUCGUGUCUUUUUUAAUGCACUUUUCGUUUAACAAGUCAACAUCAGUUUCUUUUGUUGUAAAAGGGUCAUUGGAAGGUGGCUUUCUUUUCGGAGAAAGUGUUUAUAGCCUUUGGCCUCUGCAAUCGGAGAGACUGAGGUCUGCAGCGUAGACUCUUCGGGGUUAGAUACAUUUGUGCUAAGUUAUAGCUUUUUAUAGACAACUUGUUGACUAUAAUUAGUCUUGUAGCUUACUCGCUUAUGCUAUUUUACCUACGCUUAGGAUGUUGACUGAUAUGUAGUCGUA
rnacentral:rRNA from 1 species